GACCAAGUCCCGAGCAACGUCAUCGAGCCCAAUCCUGUCAGAUCCGGAAGGAAGCAGCAGUCAGCAUAGGUGGCGUGUGAAUCGGUAAAGCUUGGUCCUU
rnacentral:SRP_RNA from 1 species